GAAAUGAUGCUCUGCUGGUAGAAAACAAAAAACCUUAUUGGGGAAAAUGGAGACUAGGAAGAACCUCAAGUGAAUCAAAUGAGGUUCUUUUCCUUCAUCCCUAUUCACACCCCUUGGGAGGAGCUUGGAUUCAUUGACCAGGAUCCACAAUUAAAAAGGCAAACAGAGUGGAGCCUGAGCUAACCCCAUUCAUUCUCUGCGGAUGAUCAGUUGAUGAAGCUCCUAGAGGACUGGACAGAUGUGGCAGGAAGAUACGUGAAGCUCUACCAACUUCUAUUUGGUAUAAUUGCUCAUGGAAAAGAAUACAAAGUUGUUAGAGUCUGUAAACAAUUCUGGAUGGCACCUGGCAAAAUGCCAGAGGGAGUGGUUUGUGAAGUAAUGCCAGCGAGCCAUUAAGUGUGGAGAUUCCUUAUUGGUUGACUGCUGUAUCUAGUUUAUGUUAAUUAAGAUAAGCUGUGUGGAAUGUACAAAUACUUCUGUUGUCCUACAAUAAAUGGCUCCCUCUCCUGCUGUAUCAAUCUACACAAGUUUCUCGCCACCUGCUGCAGCCGGACUGCGGCAGAUGGUGGCCCGUACAGGGAGCCCCGGGACACUCGGGGGUAAGUGACGGGAAAAAAAAGCUGCCCGUCCAUAGAUAGGACUGGAGCAAAUCUGCUCGUCCCUAGACAGAUAGGGCGAGAGGAAAAAUGGCCAUUUUAAGAAGAUGGAGAAGAUUGAUACAGUAUGUUUGUGUCUUGUUUUGUCUCAGUGUAUUGUAUUGUCUUUGUGAUGAAAAUAUGGAAGGGGUGAGAAGUAAAUUGAUAAGGGAAAGAGGCACCCCAGUGGACACAAUAAUAGUUAGGGCAUGUGUUGAUGGAAGCCCAGGAACUCUAGUCAGAAAGAAAAAGAAAGUUCAGAAGAAGAAGAAUUAUCAGGAAAAAAGUUGCAGCAAAAGGCUACUACUAAAUACUUUUUGUUACUGGAGGGUGCAUGAAUCAGCGCAGCUGCAGCUGCCACAUGCGCUAGCCCGCCAUGGCGCAGCAAGGACUUUUCAAGUGGUGGUAGCGGGCUCUUCCCCGCCCCCCACCCAGGGAGUGGAAUGCCAUUUCGAGAGCCCAAAUCCAAACCUGACCCGGAGGCACAGUCUCGCAGGCUCUUGCUCCCUGUGCCCCGAAGCAGUUUGAGUCCAAGACACUCCCCAGGGCCAUCUGGGGCUGCCCAGGACACUACAGCUGGCAGAAGACCGCCCUGUGUCCCUGAAGUUUGAUCAUUUCCAAGGCAAGUAACUACAAUGGUUCUCCCACACCUGGAAGCUAAUGAGUAAUAAGCACUAUUAAGGCUUAUUUCAAAUGUAAAAAAAUAAACUUGAGAUAAUGUACUAAAUUGUUCAGAAGGUUGUUUUCUUAGUGCCUGCUGGAAUACUACAGGAUUUUCUUUAGCCAUCUGGAGUUCCUGCCUUCGUCCCAGUGUCAGUGAAGAUGAAGGUGGAAGAAUUUCCAGUGUUACUGAGAACCUGAGGAAACUUUGGCUGAGAAACGGACGAGACUUCGGAUCAAGCUAGCUGCCUGCAAAACUUACCUGGACUGUGUUUUACCUGGACUGUGAAUUAAUCUAUUGAGACACUGCUUUACCUGGACUGAGACAACAAACUGUAAUCUACAACAAAUUAUAACUCGGUAUCUUUGGUAAUGGUGUCAUUGCUGGUAUAAUUUUUCCAAGGGCUUCUUGCAUGGAGCCAUCAAUUGGCUUGGUAUUGUGGCAUUUUGUAUCCUCCCUUUCUGUUUGUAGCAGGUUAUUUAUGGUGUUUGUGUAAAAACCACUAUAGUCUUUAUUUAAAUUAAACAAAAGGGGGAAUUGUUAGAGUCUGUAAACAAGUCUGGAUGGCGCCUGGCAAAAUGCCAGAGGGAGUGGUUUGUGAAGUAAUUCCAGGGAGCCAUUAAGUGUGGAGAUUCCUUAUUGGUUGACUGCUGUAUCUAGUUUAUGUUAAUUAAGAUAAGCUGUGUGGAAUGUACAAAUACUUCUGUUGUCCUACAAUAAAUGGCUCCCUCUCCUGCUGUAUCAAUCUACACAAGUUGCUUGUCACCUGGUUAUUUUGCUGCAGCCCGACUGCAGCACAAAGUCACCAUAUUAAACAGAAUUCCACAAUGACAAAGUGAGAAGGCUAGAACAAGGCUACACAUGCCCUGAGCAUUCCUAAAGGAGAGAGAAUGGGUUUUCCUGGCCAAAGUUGCCCUGGAAUUCUCUUGGUCUCUGGCUACAUACAUAUAUAAAUAUGUGUAUACAUAGAAAGAGUCCCUGACUUUUGUUAAAUCCACUUAGGAGACAAGUGCAGGGGGACAUAGUCAUGACUUAACAAUGGUGCAAAAGCAUGCCCAUACAAACAUUCUUCUUUUUUUUUUUUUGCUUCCAG
rnacentral:lncRNA from 1 species